UCACCAUGUCAAUAAUAUGUAUAUAUUGCACUUCAAUUUCAGUCAUCUUAAAACCAUUUUCAACGUUCUAUCUUAUUAAUUCAAGUUGGGUAAUUUCCCAUUAUUUUCUUCCUCUUUUCGUGAGCUAUAAAUGCCAUAGCCAAGCCAUAAAAGCUUCUUGCACUUCUAAAAUUACCCAUGAGCACCGUCCAUUUAAAACCCAUAAAUUGUAAAACCCGAAACCCGAUUCGCUCAUUUUCUCCCUCCUUUAUCUGCGAUUUUUGCGGCAGCCAUGGCCUGAUGUUGCCACUACCUUAUUUCUCGGCCACCUUGUACCACAGGAGCUCCUCCGCACCGGUGUUGCUUCGCCACUUUGUUUUUCUCAGUCGGAUUGGUGAAGCUAUUGUUUCCUCUGUUCUUCGCUGCCCAGUACGGAGUAUCUCGUUGUUACUGCUUGUGUGUUCCUCUUUUAUGUGAAUUGACCAAAAGUACAAAGAAAAAGGGUUUCUAAUUGGUAGUGGACCAUGACUCAUGAGUUUAAGGAGCAAAUAUAAAUUGGGCUUUAAUUUGCUUAUGUGAUGGAGUAUAUAUUAUUAAGGGCUUUUGCUUGUUUGACCGGAAGUUAAGGGGAAAGACAAAAAGGGGUAAGCAAUUAAUUAAAUAAGGGUUGUUUACAUAAUGUGUAAUAAUUAUUAAUUAUUAAUUCCUAUGUUUAUUUAUUGUUGAGGUUAUGGUUAUGCAAAUUAAGGAGUAAAGGUUGAUUGUCAAGGAGUAUGUUACGAAUUGAGAGUUGAGUUAAGCAAUACAGAUUAUUGAUUGAGGUUCGAUUAAGGAGCUCAAGUUGCUCAAACGAGAGUUAUUACUGGAGUUGGUUAUUUAUUAUGGAGAUAUCGAGAUGAGAAAUUAUUUAUUAUGGAAAUCCUGUUAUUGAGGUCCCAGGAUUAAUUAAGCCUAAUUCCGCUGCAAGUGAUCCGCUAAUUAAGGUGCGGAAAAGUCGGGGCGUUACACUCUUGACCAUGUCACAAAUAUCGUUGCCCGUUUCCAACGAAAGCCAUUCUUGCAUUGUAGGAUCAGACACCACCUCCUCCUCCUCCUCCUCCUCCACUUGAGGACUGGCAUCCAGAAAUAUAAUUCUCCUUUCAAACUAUUCUGGUCCGCAAUCCACUCCCCGUUGUCUUUCUUAAUGGCGCCAAUGAAGUUAUGGGCCUUUCUUUCCUUGACGGUUUUGAAGAAGAACGAGGUUACCUGAUCACCCAUUGCAUCCAAUAUUGAUUUUGACAUGCUUUUUACAUCUCUCGUCGGACCGCCAACGCGAACACAGUGGUCGGGAAAACUCAAACGCCAAUCAUCAUUACAAUAUGCUCGAUCUAAGAGCUCAAAGAUUGUUUCUUCAUCAUCUCAAGGGCCGGGUAGCGUAUACAUGGACGAGCAUGUAUUUGUGAUUCGUGAAUACCGCAAAUUACAUUGUAUUUUCGUAAUUAUAUCGGUAACAACAUUAUUAAAAAUAGUGGAAAUAAAAAGAAAACAGAAUAAUUGAAUAAAA